UCUGACAAAUGGCAACCUUAAAUCGAAAGUAUAAGGGCGCAAAGCUACCGGUCUAAGGGUAUUUACCUAUGACAGCGGGGCCGCCAGA
rnacentral:ncRNA from 1 species